UUGCAGUCGUGUAUUCUGGGACUUUCCUCAUGGUGGGACCUUUCACACAACCCUCCUCUUCAAGCUGGGCAAGCCUGUUCUUGUCUCUCUUGUGCUUCAGGAGGAAGUACUGGAGAAGAUACAAACGCAUCAGCUAUUUGAAAAAGCAAGCCCAGAAAACAACUGACAAACCAAACAAAUCUGGGAGGCUCAGCAUAUACAUUUUUCUCUUCUAGAAGCUCCAAAGUGCUAAUAUAACAUUUACAUUUAAAUCUGGCGACAUUCAAAUGAAGAAAGCCAAUGUAAGUGAGUUAUGUUGGAUGCCUCCUCUUUCACAACUCCCUCCUCUUGAGUCAUGACAUUGGCAAUUUCAAAUAGGAAGCAAUCCCAUUGAAAGGUUGUGAACACCCUUUCGAGAUCUUUCUCCUUGUGGGCCCCGCAUACUUGCAACUACAUUCUUUCUCCUGAACCAGGCUCUAGCCAAUUAAGCUGUUCAUAAUCAAUAUAUUUUAUUUUAUGCAUUUGGGGAUUUAUAUCCUGCCAACUUCCAAAAGGACUUAAGAGCCCUUUAACAUUUCAAAAUAAAAUGAGGAAAUAAGGGAUAAAAAUAGAACCUUAUAAAAUGAGUAAGGGAAUAGAUGUUACAAGGCAUCUGAGUUGACCUAAUUCUUGCAGCUAUAGCCAGUAAACUAAAUCCCAGCUUUAUUUGUGGUUAGACCAAAAGGGAGCACACUGCGCUUACAUAGCUCUCAGUGCUGUGUCGAUGUGGAAAAAGAAAAGUACCGUUCGAAAUGAUUUGUAGAACUAAACCAUUUUUUAGAGCUAUAGCUUAAAAAGACACUAUAGUUAUUCUGUCAACAACCUCAAGAGAAGUCUGUGCAUAUAACACUUACUGCGAGCAACCCCUUGGGCCUGCAGCCAUACUGGCCUUUCACUUAGUCACUUUGCUACGCUGUUCCCUCUGCCUGGAAUGGUCCUCUCAGGAGUCCACUCACCUUCAUCCAGUUAACCCUGCUCCUCCUUUCAGUUUCUGUUCCAUCAAAAGAGCCAUCAUCUCCCACUCAGCUUGGGACAGGCCCCCUUGUUAUAGGGUUUCAGAGCACCUUGUACUCUAAAUAAUGACACCAGUGAGUGAGUAUGGUAAACUAUGGUAGGUAUGUUUACCUACCAUAGUUUACAUUUAGUAACCUAUCACAUGGUUACCUACCAUAGUUUACAUUUACUCACUCACUGGUGUCAUUAUUUAGUGUCUGUCUUCCCCACUAGACAUAAGCUCCCUGAGGCCAGGAACUGAUGUACUUUUCUCACUUCUGUAUCCCCAGCACCUCGUACCAAGUCUGUACCAUGUCUGACUUAUGGUAAUAAUAAUAAUAGGAUAAUAAUUACAAUGAUAAUAACUAAAAUUUAUUAAACAUUAGGAAUUCUUCUAAGUGUUUAUAUCUAAUGAUUCAUUUGAGCCUCAAAAUAGCCCUUUGUAGUGGAUACUGUUGUUACCCUCCUUUCAUAGGAGAAGGACAGAGGUGGAGCUCUAGGAUUAGGUAAAUUGUCCAAGGUCACAGAACUAGCAGAUAAAGAAGCUAGAAGGUAAACUCACAGUCUGGUUCCAGAGUCUGACCUCCUGACCCCUGUGCUUUGCUGCUCCUUGGAGAUGUACAGUAAAUAUCUGUUGAAUGAAGGAAUGAAUUCAGGUGAUAAUAUGGCCCAGGAAUUUUGCUUUCUUAUCAUCUAACUUAAUAUAGAAAUAGGAUCUGAAAAAUGAGAAUGAACCCUACAUUUCACAAUUAACCGAUUUCUCUGAGCUCUCAAAUUGAUUACUUAACGGAGCAUUAGGCCAGGGCCAAACCACAGACAAUUAAAAUGAUUGGGUUAUAUUUUAAAAAAUGACCAUGGUAACUGUAGGGUGAAUGGGCCAGCUGCCUGGCAUAAAAAUCCCGUAUCUAAAGUAUAUGCAGUUAUAUGGGAGCUAAGCUGUCAUUUUGUUUUGAGACGCUGAGUUGGAUUUAUAUUCUCUUCCAAGAGAGAAAGAAGGAGAAGUUAGGUAAGUGUUUGCUGCAUUAAAAACAAACCAACUUCAGCAUAUGGAGUCACCGGAAAGGUUACCAGGUAAUGUUGGAGUCAAUGUUUUCCUCAAAAGAAUGUGAACUCUUACCAAGCUUUCUCACAUACAGUUGGGCAAGACCCUAGAUAUCUACACAGGAAAACUGAGAAAGAUGAUGUGGACAUGAAAGAUUGUUACUACUGUCUCCUCUCUAACAGAGUCUCUGUAAGGCUAUGGAGUAUCUGAUGUGAAGUAAAGCCAUAUCCU
rnacentral:lncRNA from 1 species